AACGUAGGGGACAAGCGUUAUCCGGAUUUACUGGGCGUAAAGCGCCCGUAGGCGGCCUGAUAAGUUGGACGUGAAAGCUCCCGGCUUAACUGGGAGAGGCCGUUCAAAACUGUGAGGCUAGAGUGAGGCAGAGGAGCGCGGAAUUCCCGGUGUAGUGGUGGAAUGCGUAGAGAUCGGGAGGAACACCAGUGGCGAAAGCGGCGCUCUGGGCCUAAACUGACGCUGGAGGGGCGAAAAGCGUGGGGAGCGAACGGG
rnacentral:rRNA from 1 species